GGCGGGUUGCCGGAGCGGUCGAUCGGAGCCGCCUGUAAAGCGGCCGCAGCAUGCCACGCAGGUUCGAAUCCUGUGCCCGCCA
rnacentral:tRNA from 1 species